rnacentral:rRNA from 1 species
AACGAACGCUGGCGGCAUGCCUAACACAUGCAAGUCGAACGAUGCCUUCGGGCAUAGUGGCGCACGGGUGCGUAACGCGUGGGAAUCUGCCCUUGGCUUCGGAAUAACAGUUAGAAAUGACUGCUAAUACCGGAUGAUGUCCCCCUGAGAGAUCUUGGGGACCAAAGAUUUAUCGGCCAGGGAUGAGCCCGCGUAGGAUUAGGUAGUUGGUGGGGUAAAGGCCUACCAAGCCGACGAUCCUUAGCUGGUCUGAGAGGAUGAUCAGCCACACUGGGACUGAGACACGGCCCAGACUCCUACGGGAGGCAGCAGUGGGGAAUAUUGGACAAUGGGGGGAACCCUGAUCCAGCAAUGCCGCGUGAGUGAUGAAGGCCUUAGGGUUGUAAAGCUCUUUUACCAGGGAUGAUAAUGACAGUACCUGGAGAAUAAGCUCCGGCGAACUCCGU